AUAACAAAGGACGUGGUCAAUGGAGGCCCGAACUGAACGUUAACAUGGAUUAUCCGUGUGCGAGACAACAACAAGGAACUGAUUGGUGCGGGUACUACGUAUGCGACUACUUGCACAUCAUGACUCCAUGUGGGAAGACUACUGAUGAAGAAAUGAGAAUGUCUCAAAUGGGUGAUGAAUGUUACUCUACUGAUCGGAUCAACGCCGUGUGCG